rnacentral:rRNA from 1 species
AGAGCGAACGCUGGCGGCAGGCCUAACACAUGCAAGUCGAGCGCGUGUAGCAAUACACGAGCGGCAGACGGGAGAGUAACACGUGGGAACGCGCCCUUCGGUUCGGAAUAACUCAGGGAAACUUGAGCUAAUACCGGAUACGCCCUUACGGGGAAAGAUUUAUUGCCGAAGGAACGGCCCGCGUCCGAUUAGCUAGUUGGUGAGGUAACGGCUCACCAAGGCGACGAUCGGUAGCUGGUCUGAGAGGAUGACCAGCCUCACUGGGACUGAGACACGGCCCAGACUCCUACGGGAGGCAGCAGUGGGGAAUAUUGGACAAUGGGCGCAAGCCUGAUCCAGCCAUGCCGCGUGGAUGAUGAAGGCCUUAGGGUUGUAAAGUCCUUUUAACGGGGAAGAUAAUGACGGUACCGUAGAAUAAGCCCCGGCUAACUUCGUGCCAGCAGCCGC